UUAAAUAAAAAUCGGUGUUGUUGCUGCCUCUCGUGGUGACGCGUCGGAAUUGGGUCGUCUUACCUUCGGUUAAGUGACUUAAAAUUUUGCAUGAUUUUGAACGUAUUUAAAUUGCUUACGUACGUUUGAGAUAUCAAAUGUUUUUAUUAGGUUCGGUCAUCCUCAUGAUUCGCGCCUAUAAUUUUUUCAUU
rnacentral:misc_RNA from 1 species